AUUGAACGCUGGCGGAAUGCUUUACACAUGCAAGUCGAACGGCAGCACGGACUUCGGUCUGGUGGUGAGUGGCGAACGGGUGAGUAAUGUAUCGGAACGUGCCCAGUCGUGGGGGAUAACGUAGUGAAAAUUACGCUAAUACCGCAUACGAUCUAUGGAUGAAAGCGGGGGAUCGCAAGACCUCGCGCGAUUGGAGCGGCCGAUAUCAGAUUAGGUAGUUGGUGGGGUAAAGGCCCACCAAGCCAACGAUCUGUAGCUGGUCUGAGAGGACGACCAGCCAAACGGGAACUGAGACACGGUCCAGACUCCUACGGGAGGCAGCAGUGGGGAAUUUUGGACAAUGGGCGAAAGCCUGAUCCAGCCAUUCCGCGUGCAGGAUGAAGGCCCUCGGGUUGUAAACUGCUUUUGUACAGAACGAAAAGGUUUCUACUAAUACUAGGAGCUCAUGACGGUACUGUAAGAAUAAGCACCGGCUAACUACGUGCCAGCAGCCGCCGUAA
rnacentral:rRNA from 1 species